rnacentral:rRNA from 1 species
GUAGGGAAUAUUGGGCAAUGGAGGCAACUCUGACCCAGCCAUGCCGCGUGCAGGAUGACGGCCCUCUGGGUUGUAAACUGCUUUUAUACGGGAAGAAAAAAUACUACGUGUAGUAUACUGACGGUACCGUAAGAAUAAGGAUCGGCUAACUCCGUGCCAGCAGCCGCGGUAAUACGGAGGAUCCAAGCGUUGUCCGGAUUUAUUGGGUUUAAAGGGUGCGUAGGCGGAUCUUUAAGUCAGUGGUGAAAGCCUGCAGCUUAACUGUAGAAUUGCCAUUGAAACUGAAGCUCUUGAAUGUGGUUAAAGUAGGCGGAAUGUAUCAUGUAGCGGUGAAAUGCUUAGAUAUGAUACAGAACACCGAUAGCGAAGGCAGCUUGCUGAACCAUUAUUGACGCUGAGGCACGAAAGCGUGGGGAGCGAACAGGAUUAGAAACCCCGGUAGUCC